UAGCGUAGGGUGCAAGCGGUUAAUCGGAAUUACUGGGCGUAAAGCGUGCGCAGGCGGUUAUGUAAGACAGAGGUGAAAUCCCCGGGCUCACCUGGGAACUGCCUUUGUGACUGCAUAGCUAGAGGUACGGUAGAGGGGGAUGGAAUUCCGCGUGUAGCAGUGAAAUGCGUAGAUAUGCGGAGGAACACCGAUGGCGAAGGCAAUCCCCUGGACCUGUA
rnacentral:rRNA from 1 species